AGAGAUGGAGACUAACGUCUUCCAAGGGAGAUUGCGUCUCCACUUUCACCCUGGUACUGAGAGGUUGAGCACAAAAUUGGUAACCAAUGCUGCGCUUCCAGCAAAUUUUCCCACCAGCACCCAAUCCUGGGAUAUUUAUUCUCUUUGUCUCACAUCCUACAGGAACGCAGUCGCGGGGUAUAUCCCCCUGAAAACCGUACGUUGCCAAAUAAUGAUUUCUUUGGAUUAGAGAACUACAACUCCCCUGGGUCCUGAGCCGGUAUUUCCCUUUUGCGGCUGCACCGUAGUUAAAAACAAAGCUAAGUGUUCUGGGACGUAUAGUUCUAGCGUUCCUUGGGUCCCGCUGGCGAGCGUGGGCUUUCUGCAGCUCGCAACCGGCCUCGUGCUUUGCGGACGGUUCACUGCGCUUGGAAAGGGAUUGGCCUGGGGUACAUCAUCUAAAGAUCCUAGGAUUGCUGCAGGUCAGCAGUCUCCACUGGAAAAAAAGAUCUUGGCUUUGAUUUGUUGGAGAAACUGUUACCAGAAAAACAGGUCCCGAUCCCGACCCCAAAAGAGUAUUCUUGGAUCUUGCACAGGAAGGAAUUAAAGGGGUACACUCCUUUGGAAACCAGAACCUCGUAUCCUGCACAGCCCAGUGUUGGGAGAUAAAAUAUGCGAAAUACCCCAUUGAGUGAAUCUAAGAGAUUGGACAUGGAGCCAAACCUGCUUCCGCCUUUUGAUUUCUGGACACACAUGUUCUUCCUAUUGAGAACACAGAACUCUAGAGACGUCUCUGAUUCAAACAAUGCACUGUGUCCUGAAAGAUGGCACCCACCCCUCAGAGUGCUUCCUCCAGGCUGGCACUGAGUUGUGCCUGUAGAAGACCUGUCCAGCCUUCCUUGUGGCUGGCAGCUCCUGGGUAGUGCAGAUGGUGAUAGGAUUAGUGGAACCCACAGCCGUGGAAACACUGAAACUUUCCCUGCAAAGUGGGUCCUUCAGGCAGAUAAUGGGCUAGGAGCACUGCCUAGCCUGCAGACCAGGAAUGUCAACAGCACCCAGAGAGUGGUGCUGGCUGUGUCUGAGAGCAGGACAGGAAAACCCACCCAUAGAAUCGGUACCUAACCCUGUGAAGAUGAAACUCUGGCCCUUCCAGGUUGGAAGUAGCUAAAUGUAGUCAACUUGUUACUUAGUGGGUAGUCAUGUAAAGAAAUAGUGCCCCACUAGGGCACAUCAUGGGCCUCAAUUGCUGAUGAGUUGGACAUUCAGAGGUGGCAGCAGCUGGAUCUGCCUUGGUGUGGGGAAGUCAGUGCUGCUGGCCCCUUACGGAGCCUCAUGCCUGCCACUGUGGUUGCUCCAUUCAUGCACUCAUCCUACCAGGCCUGGGCUGACCCAUGGUGAAAGCUGGCUAACUGCCAUUUGUCUGUUUGGUAGUUCAGUGCCACUUCAGACUUGGGUGUUUUCUGUGGGUGUCAGCAAGGGAUUCAAGCUCAACCCAGGUGGACUGUUUUCACCUGAUGAUGAAUGCUGUUGGGCCUGUACCAUCUAUGACUUUGUGGGUCACACAGGCACUUGGAACCCCGUAGUUGCUUGGUAUCCCGUGGUCAAACAUUCUAUUGAAUCAGGACAAGGAACACUAAAAGUUGCUUCUAACAGGGGGCAUGUGUCUCUGCUGUGGAUGACAUGAUCUUACUCCAGAAUCCCAGGCCCUCCACUGUGACUCUCCCACUGGUGCUUGGUUCAGCUCCAUCCUGUGUCUUUCCCCACCACUGGCACCACCAGCCCCAGGGGUCUGAGGGAUGGUGGCUGCUUGUACCAUGGCCUGGAUCUGCUGCAGGGUCCUUUCCUGUGUAGGCCCCACUUGAAGCUGGCAUCCUCCUAUGUCACCUAGACUGUGGGCCAAAGCAAAAUGUCUAGAUGUGGAAUGUGGUGUUGUUAUAAUUCAAAGAGGCUCACCAAGCAGUGUGCUUCCUUGCUUCUGGUGAGGAUGCAAGAUGCAACAGUUUUUCUUUUACCUUGGAGGGGACACACCUGCAUUCCCCUAAACACUUGGCACUUGUUCACCCAUAAAACUUCACUUCAGUGCCCACCUUUGAAGCUGUAUAAGGUUUAUCUUCACCUUGUGGGGUGCGUGUGUUUUGCAAAGGACUACAGUGCACUUUCUUCCUGCUGCUCAUCUACUCCAGUCAACAUGAAGUUGUCAAUGAAAUGUGCUGAUUUAAUAUCCUAAAGGAUAUGCAGUAUGUCCAGUACAGUCUUAAGCCUAUACUAUAGAGGGCACAGGUGUUACAAUAGCCCUGAGGCAAACAAUAAAUAAAUGUGUCGUUGAUUCCA
rnacentral:lncRNA from 1 species